ACGUCUACAUUAGAUACCCUUGUAGUCCCAGCCGUAAACUAUGCGCGUUAGGUGUAUCGGUGACCACGAGUUACCGAGGUGCCGAAGGGAAACCGUGAAACGUGCCGCCUGGGAAGUACGGUCGCAAGGCUGAAACUUAAAGGAAUUGGCGGGGAGCACCACAACGGGUGGAGCCUGCGGUUUAAUUGGACUCAACGCCGGGAAGCUCACCGGAUAAGACAGCGGAAUGAUUGCCGGGCUGAAGACUCUGCAUGACUAGCUG
rnacentral:rRNA from 1 species